rnacentral:rRNA from 1 species
UACGAAGGGGGCUAGCGUUGCUCGGAAUUACUGGGCGUAAAGGGCGCGUAGGCGGCACUGUUAGUCAGGCGUGAAAGUCCUGGGCUCAACCUAGGAAGUGCACUCGAAACUGCAAAGCUUGAGUCUCGGAGAGGAUCGCGGAAUUCUCGGUGUAGAGGUGAAAUUCGUAGAUAUCGAGAGGAACACCGGUGGCGAAGGCGGCGAUCUGGACGAUGACUGACGCUGAGACGCGAAAGCGUGGGGAGCAAACAGG